rnacentral:rRNA from 1 species
UACGUAGGGUGCGAGCGUUAAUCAGAAUUACUGGGCGUAAAGCGUGCGCAGGCGGUUCGUUGUGUCGGUGGUGAAAGCCCCGGGCUCAACCUGGGAAUGGCCAUGGAAACUGGCGAACUGGAGUGUGGCAGAGGGGGGUGGAAUUCCGCGUGUAGCAGUGAAAUGCGUAGAGAUGCGGAGGAACACCGAUGGCGAAGGCAGCCCCCUGGGCUAGCACUGACGCUCAGGCACGAAAGCGUGGGGAGCAAACAGG